AGCAGCCGCGGUAAUUCCAGCUCCAAUAGCGUAUAUUAAAGUUGUUGCAGUUAAAAAGCUCGUAGUUGAAUUUCGGGAUCAGUUGAUCGGUCGUGCCUCGGUACGUACUGGUCAAAUUGAUUCCUACCUUCUGACGAACCACGAUGUCAUUAAUUUGGUGUCGUGGGAAAUCAGGACUGUUACUUUGAAAAAUUAGAGUGUUUAAAGCAGGCUCGCGCUUGAAUACAUUAGCAUGGAAUAAUGAAAUAGGACGUUUGAUUCUAUUUUGUUGGUUUCUAGGAUCGACGUAAUGAUUAAUAGGGAUAGUUGGGGGCAUUAGUAUUCAAUUGUCAGAGGUGAAAUUCUUGGAUUUAUUGAAGACUAACUACUGCGAAAGCAUUUGCCAAGGAUGUUUUCAUUAAUCAAGAACGAAAGUUAGGGGAUCGAAGACGAUCAGAUACCGUCGUAGUCUUAACCAUAAACUAUGCCGACUAGGGAUCGGAUGAUGUUAAUUUUUAAUGUACUCAUUCGGCGCCUUAAC
rnacentral:rRNA from 1 species